rnacentral:rRNA from 1 species
AUGAAAGAGCUUAGAGCUGCUUUGGUUGCAUACAGUGUGAGAAACAGGGUUAAGAUUAACAAAGGAAGAAAUGAAGCAACGAGGUUGAAUGCAUCUUGCUCUGCUGGAUGCCCCUGGCUUUUGAAGGCGUCUAAGGACAACAGAACAGGAAGCAUUGUAAUUAAGAGAUACAAUUGCAAUCACACAUGUCAGAAAUCUUGGGAUGCAAAGUGUUUGUCAGUUAAAUUUCUUACCGGUAAGUUCAUUGAGGAGUUCAGAGACAACCAAAAGAUGGACUUGGUGACCUUUGGUAACAAAGUUCAGAGAGAAUUCAAGGUCAGACCUCAUAAAGUCAAAUUAGGAAGGGCAAGGAGAGCUGCACUUGAUUUGAUACAUGGAGAUGAAGCAGCUCAGUAUCAACAGCUAUGGAAUUAUGGUAAAGAGCUGAGGAGGAGCAAUCCUGGCAGUACCUUCCUUGUUAGCACAACUCUUGUUAAGGAGAAUGAAAAUGAGGACCCAAAGGAUCAUUUGUCAUCGUUGUAUUGGUCAUAUGAUGCUUGCAAGAGAGGUUUCUUAAAUGGAUGUAGGCCCAUCAUUUUUAUCGAUGGAUGCCACUUGGAAAGUAGGUACAAAGGCCAGUUACUUACUGCUGUUGGCAUAGACCCAAACGACUGCAUUUAUCCCAUUGCAAUGGGAAUGGUUGAAGUAGAAUCAAAAUUCUCCUGGGAGUGGUUUCUCACUACAUUAAAGCAUGACUUGAACAUAGUGAACACCUCCCCAUUCACUAUAAUGAGUGACAAACAAAAGGGCUUAAUAAAUGCAGUUGGAAAGGUGUUUCCAGACUCAGAGCACAGAUUUUGUGUUAGACAUUUAUAUCAAAACUUUCAUAUGCAUUUCAAAGGAGAGACAUUGAAAAACCAUUUGUGGGCAAUUGCAAGAUCAACAAAUAUCACAAAGUGGAUGUUGAACAGAGAAGCAAUGAGAGAGGAUUGCCCUAGUCCUGUUGCUUGGUUGGAGAAUAAACCUGAAAACCAAUGGGUGAAAGCAUUUUUCAGUGAUUUCCCCAAAUGUGACAUCCUAUUGAACAAUAUGUCAGAAGUGUACAAUAGCUACAUAUUGGAAGCAAGGGAGUUCCCUGUGAUUUCAAUGAUGGAAUGUAUAAAGGGUAAGAUUACUGCUAGACAUGAGAGCAAGCAGAGAGAGGCAAGAAACAAAUGGACUGGUAAGAUAUGCCCAAAGAUCAAGAAGAAAUUAGAGAAGGAGAUAGAACUGUCUGCAAGUUGUUUUCCUAGUCACUCUGGUUUGGGAGUAUAUUCUGUGAUAUCAAGAAACUUUACAUACCUUGUGGAUAUUCCAGCAAGGACAUGUGAUUGCAAAAGAUGGCAACUUAGUGGCAUUCCUUGCAGCCACUCUAUUGCGUGCUUUAGGGAAGAGAGGAUAGAUACAGAAGAAAUGGUUCACAAGUGCUACACAAUAGAGACAUACCUGCUAGCAUAUGGGCACAAUAUAAUGCCUAUGAGAGAUAGGGCUCACUGGGAGCAAGUUAAUGGAAUUGUCGUUCAUCCACCGAUUUACAAGAAAAAGAUGGGAAGGCCACCAAAGAACAGGAAAAGAACACCUGAAGAAAAGCUUCAGAAGGAUGGCAGCAUUGCACUGAACAAGAAAGGUGUGAGCAUGCAUUGUUCAAUUUGUGGAAAAGCAGAUCACAACAAGAAGGGCCAUCAGAAAUUCAUGGAGAGGGAGAGUGAGAGGGAAGCAAAUGAGAUGGAAGAAGAAAUAGAAGAUCCUUCCAUUUUAAAUGACAUCAGGACACACAUGGAGGACACAAGGCUAGAUCCUAUGCAUGUGCCUUUCAGCAUGGUACAUAUAAUGAGGCAAGAGGAGAGAAUCCAUGUUUCAAAUGUCAAACCACCUGGUCCUUUGCCAGAUAUAUCUAGAUUUGUUGCUGAUGCCAGGGACUCCAUUCCUGAGAGAAGAACAAUUACUACUGCUACAACCAGAGGAAGGAAUAGGGGAAAAGGCAAAGGGAGGCCACUAGAUGAUGAAGAAACCAUUGGUGCUACAAGCAGAGGAAAAAACAAGAGACAGAAAGCAGGUACUAGCACAUACCCAGGUGAUGGAAGCAAUCGUGCAAGAGGGCCCAACAAUGCAACAAGAGGAGGUUCAAUAGCUGCAAGAGGUGGCCGGAGUGGUGGUGCAAGAAGGGGAGCAAAUGCUACAAUAGGUGGAGGAAAUGCAACAAUAGGAGGAGCAAAUGCUGUUGGAAGAGGGGGAACAAAUGCUACAAGAGGUGGACGAAGUGGUGCUGGAAGAGGGGAAGCUAAUGCUGCACGAGGUGGAGGAAAUGCUGCUGGAAGAGGAGGUGGUGCUGAUGGAAGUGGUGGAACAGUUGGUGGAAGGGGCUGGUGCUAUCUUUUGCUUGGAGAAGAUGGAGAAAGGAGAGAUGCAUCUGUUCCAGACCUAAAUGCUGCUGCAAUCCCUGACCUCAAUGCUCGAGAAGAGAUCAUUGUGACCCAAAAUGCGCCUACGGGUCCUUUCUAA